rnacentral:rRNA from 1 species
UACGUAGGGGGCAAGCGUUGUCCGGAAUCAUUGGGCGUAAAGCGCGUGUAGGCGGCCUUGUAAGUCCGUUCUGGAAAGUCCGGGGCUCAACCCCGGGAGGCGGAUGGAUACUGCAAGGCUCGAGUCCGGAAGAGGCAAGUGGAAUUCCCGGUGUAGCGGUGAAAUGCGCAGAUAUCGGGAGGAACACCAAUGGCGAAGGCAGCUUGCUGGGACGGUACUGACGCUGGAGACGCGAAAGCGUGGGGAGCAAACAGG